rnacentral:rRNA from 1 species
UACGAAGGGUGCAAGCGUUACUCGGAAUUACUGGGCGUAAAGCGUGCGUAGGUGGUCUGUUAAGUCUGAUGUGAAAGCCCUGGGCUCAACCUGGGAAUUGCAUUGGAUACUGGCAGGCUAGAGUGCGGUAGAGGAUGGCGGAAUUCCCGGUGUAGCAGUGAAAUGCGUAGAGAUCGGGAGGAACAUCUGUGGCGAAGGCAGCACCCUGGACGAGUACUGACGCUGAGGCGCGAAAGCGUGGGGAGCGAACGGG